rnacentral:rRNA from 1 species
ACUCCUACGGGAGGCAGCAGUGGGGAAUAUUGCACAAUGGGCGCAAGCCUGAUGCAGCAACGCCGUGUGAGUGAAGAAGGUUUUCGGAUCGUAAAACUCUGUCCUAAGGGAAGAAACAAAUGACGGUACCUUAGGAGGAAGCCCCGGCUAACUACGUGCCAGCAGCCGCGGUAAUACGUAGGGGGCAAGCGUUAUCCGGAAUCACUGGGCGUAAAGGGUGCGUAGGCGGCUUAGCAAGCCAGGGGUGAAAGGCAUUGGCUCAACCAAUGUAAGCCUUUGGAACUGUUAAGCUUGAGUGCAGGAGAGGUAAGUGGAAUUCCUAGUGUAGAGGUGAAAUUCGUAGAUAUUAGGAGGAACACCAGUGGCGAAGGCGACUUACUGGACUGUAACUGACGCUGAUGCACGAAAGCGUGGGUAGCGAACAGGAUUAGAUACCCUGGGGGCACAGAG